GAGUAAAGAAAGCAAAGUUAUGUUGCAAUGCAUUUUUCUUCUCUCCGAUUCCGGGGAAGUGAUGCUGGAAAAACAGCUUACUGGACACUGGGUUGAUAGAGCAAUAUGUUCCUGGUUUUGGGAUCAGUCAAUUGCUCAAGGUGAUUCCUUCAAGCAUUUACCGGUGAUUGCUUCACCAACGCAUUACCUUUUCCAAGUUAAUCGUGAAGGAGUUACCUUCUUGGCGUGCACCCAAGUGGAAAUGCCACCUUUAAUGGCAAUUGAGUUCUUGUGCAGAGUAGCUGAUGUCCUGUCAGAA
rnacentral:misc_RNA from 1 species